rnacentral:lncRNA from 1 species
ACGGUAGGUUCCGGUGUCGAAUUUGACACUUUCGGGAACCCGUAUCGGAACGAUUAUCCGACGAUAAUCGUUUCAAUGUGGUUGGGAAUGUGGGGAGCACUUUUAAAUAGGAUGAUUGUUGUAUUGUGCAUUGCAUCAUCCAGCGCCUAAGGAGUGCUUAGAGGCAUGCAUCAUUUUAAGGAUUGUUAGCUAUAUGGAAAUGCAUAUCAUGCUUUGGUUGUUGAUUGGUAAAUGUAGGUUGUGGUUGAGAUCCUGUUGUAUCCGUUGGUA